UUCCCUACAUCGACGCUAAAGAGGAGAAUGGCCACGUCAAGCUCCUGGGCUUCAUUGGAAAGAUCGCUCAUGCGACGAUAGACUCUCUGCGACUGAAUGUUACGUUCGUCAAGCCUAGAUAUGGCACGUUCGGCGGGGAGUCUGUGAACAACAGCUGGCCCGGAAUUGUUGGAAUGUUGGUCAAGAACGAGGCGGACAUCGCUCCAGGGCCCCUGGUGGUGACUGCCCAGCGCGUGUCGGUGGCCGACCCAACAGUGCCCUACUCGUACGAGGAGAUGGUCAUCCUCGGAGGGAGGCCGAAGCAGUUCAGCAGCAAUCUCUUCAGCAUCGCGCUCACGUUUUCGCCCACGGUGAUCAAACCGUCGUAGCAU